GAGUUUGAUCAUGGCUCAGAUUGAACGCUGGCGGCAGGCCUAACACAUGCAAGUCGAACGGUAACAGGAAACAGCUUGCUGUUUCGCUGACGAGUGGCGGACGGGUGAGUAAUGUCUGGGAAACUGCCUGAUGGAGGGGGAUAACUACUGGAAACGGUAGCUAAUACCGCAUAACGUCGCAAGAUCAAAGAGGGGGACCUUCGGGCCUCUUGCCAUCAGAUGUGCCCAGAUGGGAUUAGCUAGUAGGUGGGGUAACGGCUCACCUAGGCGACGAUCCCUAGCUGGUCUGAGAGGAUGACCAGCCACACUGGAACUGAGACACGGUCCAGACUCCUACGGGAGGCAGCAGUGGGGAAUAUUGCACAAUGGGCGCAAGCCUGAUGCAGCCAUGCCGCGUGUAUGAAGAAGGCCUUCGGGUUGUAAAGUACUUUCAGCGGGGAGGAAGGGAGCAAAGUUAAUACCUUUGCUCAUUGACGUUACCCGCAGAAGAAGCACCGGCUAACUCCGUGCCAGCAGCCGCGGUAAUACGGAGGGUGCAAGCGUUAAUCGGAAUUACUGGGCGUAAAGCGCACGCAGGCGGUUUGUUAAGUCAGAUGUGAAAUCCCCGGGCUCAACCUGGGAACUGCAUCUGAUACUGGCAAGCUUGAGUCUCGUAGAGGGGGGUAGAAUUCCAGGUGUAGCGGUGAAAUGCGUAGAGAUCUGGAGGAAUACCGGUGGCGAAGGCGGCCCCCUGGACGAAGACUGACGCUCAGGUGCGAAAGCGUGGGGAGCAAACAGGAUUAGAUACCCUGGCAGUCCACGCCGUAAACGAUGUCGACUUGGAGGUUGUGCCCUUGAGGCGUGGCUUCCGGAGCUAACGCGUUAAGUCGACCGCCUGGGGAGUACGGCCGCAAGGUUAAAACUCAAAUGAAUUGACGGGGGCCCGCACAAGCGGUGGAGCAUGUGGUUUAAUUCGAUGCAACGCGAAGAACCUUACCUGGUCUUGACAUCCACGGAAGUUUUCAGAGAUGAGAAUGUGCCUUCGGGAACCGUGAGACAGGUGCUGCAUGGCUGUCGUCAGCUCGUGUUGUGAAAUGUUGGGUUAAGUCCCGCAACGAGCGCAACCCUUAUCCUUUGUUGCCAGCGGUCCGGCCGGGAACUCAAAGGAGACUGCCAGUGAUAAACUGGAGGAGGGUGGGGAUGACGUCAAGUCAUCAUGGCCCUUACGACCAGGGCUACACACGUGCUACAAUGGCGCAUACAAAGAGAAGCGACCUCGCGAGAGCAAGCGGACCUCAUAAAGUGCGUCGUAGUCCGGAUUGGAGUCUGCAACUCGACUCCAUGAAGUCGGAAUCGCUAGUAAUCGUGGAUCAGAAUGCCACGGUGAAUACGUUCCCGGGCCUUGUACACACCGCCCGUCACACCAUGGGAGUGGGUUGCAAAAGAAGUAGGUAGCUUAACCUUCGGGAGGGCGCUUACCACUUUGUGAUUCAUGACUGGGGUGAAGUCGGAACAAGGUA
rnacentral:rRNA from 1 species